rnacentral:rRNA from 1 species
UAAUUUGAGAGUUUGAUCCUGGCUCAGGACGAACGCUGGCGGCGUGCCUAAUACAUGCAAGUCGAACGAACUCUGGUAUUGAUUGGUGCUUGCAUCAUGAUUUACAUUUGAGUGAGUGGCGAACUGGUGAGUAACACGUGGGAAACCUGCCCAGAAGCGGGGGAUAACACCUGGAAACAGAUGCUAAUACCGCAUAACAACUUGGACCGCAUGGUCCGAGUUUGAAAGAUGGCUUCGGCUAUCACUUUUGGAUGGUCCCGCGGCGUAUUAGCUAGAUGGUGAGGUAACGGCUCACCAUGGCAAUGAUACGUAGCCGACCUGAGAGGGUAAUCGGCCACAUUGGGACUGAGACACGGCCCAAACUCCUACGGGAGGCAGCAGUAGGGAAUCUUCCACAAUGGACGAAAGUCUGAUGGAGCAACGCCGCGUGAGUGAAGAAGGGUUUCGGCUCGUAAAACUCUGUUGUUAAAGAAGAACAUAUCUGAGAGUAACUGUUCAGGUAUUGACGGUAUUUAACCAGAAAGCCACGGCUAACUACGUGCCAGCAGCCGCGGUAAUACGUAGGUGGCAAGCGUUGUCCGGAUUUAUUGGGCGUAAAGCGAGCGCAGGCGGUUUUUUAAGUCUGAUGUGAAAGCCUUCGGCUCAACCGAAGAAGUGCAUCGGAAACUGGGAAACUUGAGUGCAGAAGAGGACAGUGGAACUCCAUGUGUAGCGGUGAAAUGCGUAGAUAUAUGGAAGAACACCAGUGGCGAAGGCGGCUGUCUGGUCUGUAACUGACGCUGAGGCUCGAAAGUAUGGGUAGCAAACAGGAUUAGAUACCCUGGUAGUCCAUACCGUAAACGAUGAAUGCUAAGUGUUGGAGGGUUUCCGCCCUUCAGUGCUGCAGCUAACGCAUUAAGCAUUCCGCCUGGGGAGUACGGCCGCAAGGCUGAAACUCAAAGGAAUUGACGGGGGCCCGCACAAGCGGUGGAGCAUGUGGUUUAAUUCGAAGCUACGCGAAGAACCUUACCAGGUCUUGACAUACUAUGCAAGUCUAAGAGAUUAGACGUUCCCUUCGGGGACAUGGAUACAGGUGGUGCAUGGUUGUCGUCAGCUCGUGUCGUGAGAUGUUGGGUUAAGUCCCGCAACGAGCGCAACCCUUAUUAUCAGUUGCCAGCAUUAAGUUGGGCACUCUGGUGAGACUGCCGGUGACAAACCGGAGGAAGGUGGGGAUGACGUCAAAUCAUCAUGCCCCUUAUGACCUGGGCUACACACGUGCUACAAUGGAUGGUACAACGAGUUGCGAACUCGCGAGAGUAAGCUAAUCUCUUAAAGCCAUUCUCAGUUCGGAUUGUAGGCUGCAACUCGCCUACAUGAAGUCGGAAUCGCUAGUAAUCGCGGAUCAGCAUGCCGCGGUGAAUACGUUCCCGGGCCUUGUACACACCGCCCGUCACACCAUGAGAGUUUGUAACACCCAAAGUCGGUGGGGUAACCUUUUAGGAACCAGCCGCCUAAGGUGGGACAGAUGAUUAGGGUGAAGUCGUAACAAGGUAGCCGUAGGAGAACCUGCGGCUGGAUCACCUCCUUU